rnacentral:rRNA from 1 species
CCUACGGGUGGCAGCAGUGGGGGAUAUUGCACAAUGGGGGGAACCCUGAUGCAGCGACGCCGCGUGGGUGAAGAAGCGCCUCGGCGCGUAAAGCUCUGUCAGCAGGGAAGAAAAUGAAGGUACCUGAAGAAGAAGCCCCGGCUAACGACGAGACAGCAGCCGCGGUAAUACGGAGGGGGCAAGCGUUAUCCGGAUUUACUGGGUGUAAUGGGGGUGCAGACGGCGUUGCAAGUCAGUAGUGAAAGCCCGGGGCCCAACCCCGGGACUGCUCUUGGAACUGCGUGGCUGGAGUGCAGGAGGGGCAGGCGGAAUUCCUGGUGUAGCGGUGAAAUGCGUAGAUAUCAGGAAGAACACCGAUGGCGAAGGCAGCCUACUGGACUGCAACUGACGUUGAGGCCCGAAAGCGUGGGGAGCAAACAGGAUUAGAUACCCUAGUAGUC